UACGGAGGAGGCAAGCGUUAUCCGGAAUUAUUGGGCGUAAAGCGUCCGUAGAUGGUUUUGUCAGUCUGCUGUCAAAGCACAGGGCUUAACCCUGUAAAGGCAGUGGAAACUACAAGACUAGAGUGCAGUAGGGGCAGAGGGAAUUCCCAGUGUAGCGGUGAAAUGCGCAGAGAUUGGGAAGAACACCCGUGGCGAAAGCGCUCUGCUGGACUGCAACUGACAUUGAGGGACGAAAGCUAGGGGAGCGAAUGGG
rnacentral:rRNA from 1 species